UCACUGUAGUUUUAUUUGUUUUAUUUUUAAGAAAAAUAUAUGAAAAAAACUUUUAUAUUUUUUAUGGUAAUUCAAAGUGACAUAUCUGAUAUAUGAUAAUUUUUUAUUUUAAAUGCCAUAUUUUUUUCUAUUAAGUUUGGUACCUAGCUUUAUUUUUCCCAUAUUUAUAUGUAAAUACCCCUUAAAACAAUCAUUUUUCUAUUAUAUAAAGUGGUGUUAUCCUGGGCUAGAGCCUUCAGGAUGCAUGCUCUCUGUUUUCCCUCCAGUACCCAAACUGGGUUUUUGGUCCACCCAAAUCGGUAUUGUGGUGGUAUCUGGUUCCUCUUUUGGGGAAUUAAUCCUCAUCAUUUCUUUUUUCAUCUCAUUAAUUGCAACAUUAAUGGUACUCACGAUUAUUAUCUCCAAUAUCUUUCAUCAGACCAAGUUUUUCUUAGCAUUUAUUAUCUUUUGGCCUCUCAUUUAACUCUUAGGUUGCAUUUGCAUUUAUUAUCUUCUCUUUUCUUCUACCAAGUCUCUAACUAUCAAAUCAUCAGAUAUCUCUUAAACCCAUUUUCCUUCAUCAAGGUGGCGGCGAAGAGAAUCGAAAGACUUGAUGAUGCUUGGGAGAAUGGAAUAAUCAUGAUGUCUACCCAGGUUAGAGGCCAAGCUAUGACCAGAGGCAAGCCAAGAGAAAUAAUCUUUUUCAUAAUAAGAAGUUGCUGCCACCCUGGCAUCUUUAUGAUCAGGCUGUGAGUUAUUUGUUGGAGUAUGAGCAUGCUAAUCUACCUGGUUUUAAACCAGAUAAUAUCAAUCUCAGAUGUAAUGAGCAGGUUCAAGUUUUGCAACAUGAAGGAUGGAAAGUUAAUACGGAUGCGGGUGUUAGCAGUUCUGAUAGGAAGCAUAGUUUGGGUGUGGUGGUUACAGAUGAAAAUGAUGAUGUUAAGGCUGGCCUAAUUGUACCUAUGGUUGGUUCAGUUCCACCGGAGGUUGCGGAGGCUAAAGCUAUUUUGGCUGCUAUUUCUUGGGUACAAGCCACCAAGCUUCCUGUUAAUGUCUUGCAAACUGAUUGUAAAAGCAUAGUAGAUAAAAUUUAUAAUGCUAAAUGUCAUAAUUCUGUUGUUAAUGAUAUUGUCCUUUGUAUUAAGAACUCAUUGUUGUUCAGUCCUAAUCUGGUCAUUGUCCAUGUUCCUCGUGAGCUUAAUAAAAUUGCUCAUGUGUGUGCUAGGGCAGGUUUAGGAUUAGACAGUGAGUGUGUAUGGAAUGGUUCUUUACCUUCCUUUGUAACCUGAAUUUCUUGUAUUUGUCUUGAUUAAUAAAGGUUCGGGUUUUUCAAAAAAAAAAAAAA